AGCUAAAUGGCUUAAUAUUUAGUGAUUUCUGCUCAAUGGUUUACUAAAUAGCCGCAGUACCCUGACUGUGCAAAGGUAGCAUAAUCAUUUGGCUUAUAAUUGAAGUCUAGUAUGAAUGAAUUUAUGGGAAACAUCUGUCUACUGUAUUUAUAUAAAACUUAAUUAAUAAGUGAAAAUUCUUAUAGACAAAUAAAAGACGAGAAGACCCUAGAAAUUUUGUUUAGUAUAAUAUUAUAUAUUACAUCAUUUUGUUGGGGCGACAGAAUAACAAGUAACUUGUUUUAUUUGAUGUGCAUUAUGUAUUAUGAAAAAUUAAAUUACUCUAGGGAUAACAGCAUAAUUUGUAAAAGUUUGUGACCUCGAUGUUGGACUAGGGACUUAAAUACUCAAAAGGUAUUUAAAUUUGCUCUGUUCGAGCAUUAAUUCCUACAUGAUCUGA
rnacentral:rRNA from 1 species